GAGUGGCGAACGGGUGAGUAACACGUGGGUAACUUGCCCAGAAGUAGGGGAUAACACCUGGAAACAGAUGCUAAUACCGUAUAACAGAGAAAACCGCAUGGUUUUCUUUUAAAAGAUGGCUCUGCUAUCACUUCUGGAUGGACCCGCGGCGUAUUAGCUAGUUGGUGAGGUAAAGGCUCACCAAGGCAGUGAUACGUAGCCGACCUGAGAGGGUAAUCGGCCACAUUGGGACUGAGACACGGCCCAGACUCCUACGGGAGGCAGCAGUAGGGAAUCUUCCACAAUGGACGCAAGUCUGAUGGAGCAACGCCGCGUGAGUGAAGAAGGGUUUCGGCUCGUAAAGCUCUGUUGUUAAAGAAGAACGUGGGUAAGAGUAACUGUUUACCCAGUGACGGUAUUUAACCAGAAAGCCACGGCUAACUACGUGCCAGCAGCCGCGGUAAUACGUAGGUGGCAAGCGUUAUCCGGAUUUAUUGGGCGUAAAGCGAGCGCAGGCGGUCUUUUAAGUCUAAUGUGAAAGCCUUCGGCUCAACCGAAGAAGUGCAUUGGAAACUGGGAGACUUGAGUGCAGAAGAGGACAGUGGAACUCCAUGUGUAGCGGUGAAAUGCGUAGAUAUAUGGAAGA
rnacentral:rRNA from 1 species